rnacentral:rRNA from 1 species
UACGAAGGGGGCUAGCGUUGUUCGGAAUUACUGGGCGUAAAGCGCGCGCAGGCGGUCUUCCAAGUCAGUGGUGAAAGCCCGGAGCUCAACUCCGGAACUGCCAUUGAAACUGUGAGACUUGAGUACGAGAGAGGUGAGUGGAAUUCCCAGUGUAGAGGUGAAAAUUCGUAGAUAUUGGGAAGAACACCGGUGGCGAAGGCGGCUCACUGGCUCGUAACUGACGCUCAGGCGCGACAGCGUGGGGAUCAAACAGG